CUUACCAGCGCAAAACAUGGGUGGGAUUGACAGAUUGAGAGCUCUUUCUUGAUUCUAUGGGUGGUGGUGCAUGGCCGUUCUUAGUUGGUGGAGUGAUUUUGUCUGGUUAAUUCCGUUAACGAACGAGACCUCAACCUGCUAACUAGUUACGUGAUAAAAGCGUAUACUUCUUAGAGGGACUAUAUGUGCAAGCAUAUGGAAGUUUGAGGCAAUAACAGGUCUGUGAUGCCCUUAGAAGUGCUGGGCCGCACGCGCGCUACACUGACACGUUCAACAAGUUCUACCCUGUCCCGGAAGGGUAUGGGUAAUCUUUUUAGUAUGUGUCGUGCUGGGGAUCGAUCUUUGUAAUUAUAGAUCUUGAACGAGGAAUUCCUAGUAAGCAUAAGUCAUCAGCUUGUGCUGAUUACGUCCCUGCCCUUUGUACACA
rnacentral:rRNA from 1 species